AGUGAACGCUGGCGGUAGGCCUAACACAUGCAAGUCGAACGGCAGCACAGUAAGAGCUUGCUCUUACGGGUGGCGAGUGGCGGACGGGUGAGGAAUACAUCGGAAUCUACUUUUUCGUGGGGGAUAACGUAGGGAAACUUACGCUAAUACCGCAUACGACCUACGGGUGAAAGCAGGGGAUCUUUGGACCUUGCGCGAUUGAACGAGCCGAUGUCGGAUUAGCUAGUUGGCGGGGUAAAGGCCCACCAAGGCGACGAUCCGUAGCUGGUCUGAGAGGAUGAUCAGCCACACUGGAACUGAGACACGGUCCAGACUCCUACGGGAGGCAGCAGUGGGGAAUAUUGGACAAUGGGCGCAAGCCUGAUCCAGCCAUACCGCGUGGGUGAAGAAGGCCUUCGGGUUGUAAAGCCCUUUUGUUGGGAAAGAAAAGCAGCAGGUUAAUACCCCGCUGUUCUGACGGUACCCAAAGAAUAAGCACCGGCUAACUUCGUG
rnacentral:rRNA from 1 species